UGGAGGACUGAGAAGGUUGAGCAGCCUGCAGUGCUGCUAUAACUGGUUAUAGCCUCCUAAAGUAACUCACUAACCGCUCAAUUCAGUGGCUCUGUCAUAUAAGCAGAGCUGAUGUGUAGUGUGUUUGUGAACAAAAC